AAAAAAAAGCAGGCAUCCUCCUGUAGUGGGAGACUACGAGCCUCGGGGCCCUGGAGAGGUCUGGACCCUGGUUCUGACCUUGCUGCGGUUACACAGCCGCCGGGAGCUGCAGCAGAAAUUUGAUGUUCGAAAGCUUGUGGCUUCCUCGCCACCACCUUGCACGACUGUCAUUAUCUCCAGUCACAGACACAGAAAUUAGAGGUCGUUGUGUUGUUACCCGCUGCAAGGCCUGGUGUGCACAACGGGAUCUCUUAGAAGGAAGCGCAGCUGUUUUCCUGCAGAAGCGGCCCCAGAACCACACGACCUGCCGCUUUCUGGAUUUGCAGAAGUUCCUUGGAGCAGAAGUGCCAGAUCAUUCCUUCUCUCGGUCCACAGAUGAAGGUACCACAAGAGGGAGAAGGUCCUGUGAGGCGAAUGCUCUGUCUGGAUUCAGCUUGGGUGGGUCAAACAACUCACCGCCUUCCCUUUGGGCUGCAGAAAGCUGCGAGGUAGCCGCGCACAGAUCUCUGGAACAAAGAUUGGUAGCAUCAGCUGUUUUAAUGCAGAGCUCGGCACACAAUCCUUGCUAAAAAUAAAUACAAAGGAAACCCCAGAGCAGCUAAGCCUA